CUAAUCCAAGUCGUGCUCUCGGAAGGGGGAGAGCUUCUGGCCGGUUCGUCAAACGAAGAAACGCGACUCUGCAUUCUGCAGAGGCCGUUUACCGACAGCUUUCGGCCUCGAGCUUAUUGUUAGUUAGAGACCCAGCCAUGAUAAUUCAUCGCCCACGUGGCCGAUAGAAAUAAACGAUUCGCGCCAGAGAACAGCUUUUGCCUACAUUAAAUACCUGGACUGGUAAUUGAAAGGUGUACCAUCGGAUAAAAGGAUCCGUGGAACUAAGGAGUGGUGAAAUGUUUUAUCGCGAGCCUGUUUGGCGAGUGCGCUGAGGAUCGUUUCUUCGAUAUUUUUAUCGCGAGUAUCGAAGAGAUGCGUUCGUAGAGAUUUGUAGAGAUUUUAGAAAGUAUCAGCGAGGAAAGGAGAUUUUUGAUAGUCGAAUGUUGAAAAAUAGCUAGCUACUUGGAUCUACUAUCUAUCGUUAACUUUGCUAGACUCGAAGCUAAAAGAUCCUACGCUUUGAAAAAAUAUUGUUUCAUCUAUCUCGGAACGUUGACUAAAGAAAUACACGUCUAUCGUGAUAUUUAAUUCUCCUACGACAAACCGAUACUCCAAACGAUAAUCGCACUCUGCAGAACCAACAGCCUGAUGUAACGUAAGUAUUGCGUCUGUGUAACAGGUAUAAAAUUCGAACGUUAGCCCACUAAAAUCCUGGCUACGGAAACCCUGAAAAUACGAAAGACCGACGACACCCUGCACGAAAGCCCAUAGGAGACGAGAAAUCGAGGAAAGUCUCGGGAAAAGAAUGUUUAAAAACCACGUAGUAGUUCGAACAAUGGCGGUGAAAUGCGGCUGGUUUUCAGCUUGCGCGGUGGACAAUGGGUCUAUAUCUCUCGCGAUGGAAAUAGUUAUUAGACGAGGGCCCGCAAGUGAUCUUGAUUGUCAGAUACCAAGACUCCCCCACUCUCUAUUCGUGCAUUAUGCAAAGUACCUUCCGCUCGUAUUAUCCACGGUUUGUUCCCAUCGUUGUUGAUCGUGGCCGGAGAAAGCGUACGAAAUCGCUACGUUCGCGAAAUAACGUGGAACGUUAAACGAGAUGCAUUUAAAUAUGCCUCGUUGAUUUAGAUAGACCGGAUCCUGCGGUUCUUUUCGAAUAAGGAACAUCGUCGACCUUGGAUAUGCCAGCGGAAGAACGUUUCGUAUCGUGGCUGGCUGUAGCGGAGAAGUUCGCGAUUUACGGGCUUCGUCUUUUCCUUCGACCGAAGAACAGAGAAUGGCCAAGCUUCUGCUGGUUCAUACUGGCCUACUAGUUCUACUAUACGCGACCAACGCACCACUUUGAGAGCACCUCCGCGGAUCGACUGCCAGCUAUAUUCAUACGAGCCACCGUCACUUUACCCGUGGAACAGGAAAGCGAUCGACACUCCAG